rnacentral:rRNA from 1 species
GUAGGUGGCAAGCGUUGUCCGGAAUUAUUGGGGCGUAAAGCGCGCGCAGGCGGUCCUUUAAGUCUGAUGUGAAAGCCCACGGCUCAACCGUGGAGGGUCAUUGGAAACUGGGGGACUUGAGUACAGAAGAGGAAAGCGGAAUUCCAAGUGUAGCGGUGAAAUGCGUAGAGAUUUGGAGGAACACCAGUGGCGAAGGCGGCUUUCUGGUCUGUAACUGACGCUGAGGCGCGAAAGCGUGGGGAGCAAACAGGAUUAGAUACCCUGGUAGUCCACGCCGUAAACGAUGAGUGCUAAGUGUUAGGGGGUUUCCGCCCCUUAGUGCUGCAGCUAACGCAUUAAGCACUCCGCCUGGGGAGUACGGCCGCAAGGCUG